GGUGGGUCUUGGGUGAUGCACCCCAAAAAUCAAGCUCCCUCCUCUCUGGUUCCGGGUGUAUCACCCGAGAACUGCA
rfam:Myotis lucifugus cont2.28585, whole genome shotgun sequence.